AACUGAACCCAACAAGAGUUUCAUCAUAUGCUGUACAUGCGUUGUAGCUUGUGCUUCAGAGCUGACCCUUUAGAAAAUAGUUGGCAUCCUUAAGAGCGAUGGAGACAAUUUAUGCAAAUGUUGACUCAAUAACUUCAACAAAACAGACAGGUAAAAAUGUUGCACAAAGAUCUCAAUUAUCAUCUGUUCUUUUUACUGUUGUAUCAUUGACUGUAUUGACUGUUUCUCUGUUCAGGUCCGGGGAGCUCACAGAGGAGAUUUCAUGGAGCUGUUCUUGUCUUUCUGGGGCUGCUGAGUGUUUUCCUGCUGGCUGGACUCAUCGGCCUCGGCGUCUACUAGUGAGUGAAGGAAUCAGGAGAGAGGAGACAGAAGUGAGGAAGCAGGAUGUAAAGUUAAAGGUGUUGAAAGA